rnacentral:lncRNA from 1 species
AUUUCAUCACCUGUUUGGUGGCAUGAAAGAGAGUACGGGUUAUACAUUUCAUCACCUGGUUGGUGGCAUGAAGAUGAGUUCCUUCUUCACAUUUCAUCACCUAGUUGGUGAGAAUAAGGGGAAGGUGUCGAGGCACAUUGUAGCAAGUGUUGAAUGACACAAAGUAUGUUGAACCCUUUCGAAACACAGUUGGCUUAUGUAUGGAUGUGUUGGAAUGUAUGAUGUUUAUGUAUGAAUGUGUUGGAAUGUAGUUUAUGUUGAUUGACAUGAGUGAUGCUUAUGAAUGUUUUGCUAUGCAUGAAGGGAUCCAUGUUUUCGAUAUGUGAACCAUGUUGGUUGUAACACUUAGUAUCACGUACUUUGUGUCAAGUUACGCAUGUCGAAGCUCUGAGUUGGAGUAUAGGGGUAGGUUAGCGUAAACCAAAUGUUCCAGUGCUAGGAAUGCAAAAGACUCAGAAGAAGUUGUCUGAAUUCCCUCUUCUUUAAAUAUUUGCCGAAUGGCUUGUGUGACAAAAGAUCUCAAGCGGUUAAGAGUCAAAACAUUUAUAAUGUGUAUGCCUUCUUAUAAUAGCAUUUCCUUCAGUACCUAAUCCUCCACUUUGAAAGAGUAAGGCUUGGCCCCAUAGUCAUAAUAGUCGACGGUACGUUCACCCCUGGUUGUCUUGAUACGAACUUUUAUCCCUCUUGUUGUAACGGGCUUGCUGAGAGUAAAAAUCCUUCAUCUUACCAAGAGACAAAUACGUUUGGUGACUUAGCGAGUAGCUAAAUGAGGCAGCAGAUGAUGCAAUGGGUGUCUGAAUGGCCAAGAUCUACUCACUUGGUAGAACUUGACUUCCACUUCCCACUUGUUGAUAGGGGUUAACUAUAUGGGGGUUCCCUUGGUAUGUCCUUGCUUCGACGGAGGCGUGGUUGUAAGACUGUGCCAUCACCUCAGAGUAAGUCUUCCAAGUGUUGGCAUUAAUCAUGUACUUGAAGAAAUAAUCACGUAGGCCUGCCAUGAAGGCUUUGAGGGCGGUCUUGUCAUAUGCCUCAGUGAUGUGAAAUAAUCCAACACGUAAAUUAAUCCAUAUUGAAUAUGUAAUUGUGGUAUUAAGCAAGUAGGGAUCGUUCUAAACCAGAGAUUAACUACGGCUG